GAUGAAGAACGCAGCGAAAUGCGAUAAGUAAUGUGAAUUGCAGAAUUCAGUGAAUCAUCGAAUCUUUGAACGCACAUUGCGCCCGCUGGUAUUCCGGCGGGCAUGCCUGUUCGAGCGUCAUUUCAACCCUCAAGCUCUCCGGAGUUUGGUGUUGGGGCGCCUGGGGCUUUUCGACCUCAGGGCCCUCAAGUCCAUCGGCGGGACCGCCAGGACACUGAGCGCAGUUGUAUUAUUUCGCUCGGUAGGAUCUUCCACGGCGGGUCGAUCUGGCCGCUAAACCCCCCAAUUCUCACCAAAGGUUGACCUCGGAUCAGGUAGGAAUACCCGCUGAACUUAAGCAUAUCAAUAAGCGGAGGA
rnacentral:misc_RNA from 1 species